rnacentral:lncRNA from 1 species
AUUAAAUCAUUGAGGCAUCUGGGCCUCUUAUUCCACUAAUGUGACCUCAUUAUAUCGUAAUUUGUUAUUAUAGAAAUUUAAUUUUCUGAUGCCAUAGAAUUACAAAGGGUCUUCACAUUUCCUAGGUUUUCAUCCACCCUAAUUGCAAACUUUUUGAUCAUUUACUGGUUGGGUUCUUUGAUAUUUUCUGGUCUUGGCUUUAUAUUUCUGGCAGACUACAAUGUGUAACCUAAGAAAGAAGUACUCCCUGAUGCUGGAGAUGAUUUUAAUCUCUAAAGGAGCUUGGAGACGGAGUUCUUUAAUAAGAUGAGGAAAUAUUUUGAAUUGGCAUUUCCCUUAGCCACCAUUAAUAUAUAUGUGGAUCUUGACUUUGACAUCUUCACACUCUCUAUCACUUAAUGGAAUUCCCUUCCAUAGAUCUGUGAGGAAGUCAGAAACACAGAGAAGAUUGCUUAGAUUUCUCUGCCUACCUCACAGACAGUUGUGAGGAUCAAAGAAAGUAACAUGUCUGGCCAAAGUAGUAUCAAAUAAAUCUUCAUUCCCUCCCUUUCUUCCCUCCCCACUGCCUUAAUCUAGUCAUUUAACCCAACAUGGUACUUUACUUUUUUCUGCCAUUUCAGUAGAGACCAAGAAAAGCCAAAAGGAGAGACAGGCCAUUCUGAGUGCUAGGAAUCAGAAACCUGUCCACAAUAUCCUGCUUACCUCUGGCUUACUGCAAAACACCAGCAGAAGCAGAAUGGACAAGUACAGAAAAUUGAUUAAGUCUGGACAUAGAAGGUCUCCAUACUGAAAUACAGAAGAAAAACAAAGCAAUGAAACUUUAUCAAGGUAGUUAGAAUCCAGGAAGUAUGGGCAUCCUUGAAGAUGGCAUUUGCAACAUCUAAAUCAUCCAGUCUGCAGAAGUUGAAUGCCCAUGUGCCAAGAUCUGUUCUGGGCACCGAAGACUCAGCAGUGAACAAAGAGUCAAGUUCCUCUUAACAAGCUUUUGUCCUAGUUGGGAGAGAAAAAUUAGGUGGAGUUGAAGAAAGUACAGAACUGAUGCAGUGCCCUCCCUCCCAGGAUGCCUCAGAGCCUUCCCUGACUCCUCAGUGACCCAGUUGUACAUAUCAGUCAGCAUCAAAGUGGCAUUUAUUUGAUUUUCUCAUAUAAAUUCCCAAUCUCUUCCUCCUCCAAUCCCACUGACACUACCGUCAGCCAGGUCUUCACCCUCACUUGCUUUGGUUACUAGACUAGCUCCUUAACUGGUCUACCUGCCACUGGUCUCAACAACCACUGAAAUGCCCCUUUCUACUUCAUCUGAAAAACUUGUACUCAACCUUCAAAACCCCAAUUCACCUGCUCCAUGGAGUCACGCUCAGAAACCUCCUCGCCUCACAUUCCAACACUGGUAAAACUAAUUAUACUCACUUCAUAAUUUAUUUGUGUUUCGCUUUAUUGUUUUUAGUGUUUUAUUUUAUUUUGUUUUGUUUCAGAAGUGAGGUCAUCUCAAUAUAUUGCCCAGGCUGAACACUCAAAUUUCUGAAUUCAAGCCAUCCUCCCACCUAGCCUCCCACAUAGCUGAGACUACAGGCACACACCAGCAUGUCAGGCCACAUAAUUUAUUAAUUUGGUUAAGCUUCCAGAAUAUCA